CGAAACCAGGUGAUCUACCCAUGUCCAGGAUGAAGGUAAGGUAAUACUUACUGGAGGUCCGAACCCACGCACGUUGAAAAGUGCGGGGAUGAGGUGUGGGUAGCGGAGAAAUUCCAAUCGAACUUGGAGAUAGCUGGUUCUCUCCGAAAUAGCUUUAGGGCUAGCCUCGAGGUAAAGAGUCAUGGAGGUAGAGCACUGUUUGGACUAGGGGCCCUUCUCGGGUUACCGAAUUCAGAUAAACUCCGAAUGCCAUGUACUUAUACUCGGGAGUCAGACUGCGAGUGAUAAGAUCCGUAGUCGAAAGGGAAACAGCCCAGACCACCAGUUAAGGUCCCCAAAUAUAUGUUAAGUGGAAAAGGAUGUGGGGUUGCUUAGACAACCAGGAUGUUGGCUUAGAAGCAGCCACCAUUGAAAGAGUGCGUAAUAGCUCACUGGUCGAGUGACCCCGCGCCGAAAAUGUACCGGGGCUAAACAUAUUACCGAAACUGUGGAUGAACCUCUUCGGAGGUUCGUGGUAGGAGAGCGUUCUAAGGGCGGUGAAGUCAGACCGGAAGGACUGGUGGAGCGCUUAGAAGUGAGAAUGCCGGUAUGAGUAGCGAAAGAAGGGUGAGAAUCCCUUCCACCGAAUAUCUAAGGUUUCCUGAGGAAGGCUCGUCCGCUCAGGGUUAGUCGGGACCUAAGCCGAGGCCGAUAGGCGUAGGCGAUGGACAACAGGUAGAGAUUCCUGUACCAGUGCUAAUUGUUUAACCGAUGGGGUGACACAGAAGGAUAGGGAAUCGCACGAAUGGAAAUGUGCGUCCAAGCAGUGAGUGUGAGAAGUAGGCAAAUCCGCUUCUCGCGAAGCAUGAGCUGUGAUGGGGAAGGAAAUUAAGUACGGAAGUUCCUGAUUUCACGCUGUCAAGAAAAGCCUCUAGGAAGAGUAGUACUGCCCGUACCGCAAACCGACACAGGUAGAUGAGGAGAGAAUCCUAAGGUGAGCGAGAGAACUCUCGUUAAGGAACUCGGCAAAAUGACCCCGUAACUUCGGGAGAAGGGGUGCUCUAUUAGGGUGCAAGCCCGAGAGAGCCGCAGUGAAUAGGCCCAGGCGACUGUUUAGCAAAAACACAGGUCUCUGCAAAACCGUAAGGUGACGUAUAGGGGCUGACGCCUGCCCGGUGCUGGAAGGUUAAGAGGAGUGCUUAGCUUCGGCGAAGGUACGAAUUGAAGCCCCAGUAAACGGCGGCCGUAACUAUAACGGUCCUAAGGUAGCGAAAUUCCUUGUCGGGUAAGUUCCGACCCGCACGAAAGGCGCAACGAUCUGGGCACUGUCUCAACGAGAGACUCGGUGAAAUUAUAGUACCUGUGAAGAUGCAGGUUACCCGCGACAGGACGGAAAGACCCCGUGGAGCUUUACUGCAACCUGAUAUGGAAUGUUUGUACCGCUUGUACAGGAUAGGUAGGAGCCGAAGAGACGUGUGCGCUAGCAUACGAGGAGGCAAUGGUGGGAUACUACCCUGGCUGUAUGACCAUUCUAACCCGCCACGCUUAGCGCGUGGGGAGACAGUGUCAGGUGGGCAGUUUGACUGGGGCGGUCGCCUCCUAAAGAGUAACGGAGGCGCCCAAAGGUUCCCUCAGAAUGGAUGGAAAUCAUUCGCAGAGUGUAAAGGCACAAGGGAGCUUGACUGCGAGACUGACAAGUCGAGCAGGGACGAAAGUCGGGCUUAGUGAUCCGGUGGUUCCGCAUGGAAGGGCCAUCGCUCAACGGAUAAAAGCUACCCCGGGGAUAACAGGCUUAUCUCCCCCAAGAGUCCACAUCGACGGGGAGGUUUGGCACCUCGAUGUCGGCUCGUCGCAUCCUGGGGCUGUAGUCGGUCCCAAGGGUUGGGCUGUUCGCCCAUUAAAGCGGCACGCGAGCUGGGUUCAGAACGUCGUGAGACAGUUCGGUCCCUAUCCGUCGCGGGCGCAGGAAAUUUGAGAGGAGCUGUCCUUAGUACGAGAGGACCGGGAUGGACACACCGCUGGUGUACCAGUUGUUCCGCCAGGAGCAUCGCUGGGUAGCUAUGUGUGGCAGGGAUAAACGCUGAAAGCAUCUAAGCGUGAAGCCCCCCUCAAGAUGAGAUUUCCCAUUUCUUCGGAAAGUAAGAUCCCUGAAAGAUGAUCAGGUAGAU
rnacentral:rRNA from 1 species